rnacentral:lncRNA from 1 species
GAAGGCUGAGGCUGGGCUGUUAAGGAUGGAGCCAGGGGAUAAUGAAUACAAUACAGGUGCUGGGGUUUAGCUCGGGUUAUGAUGAGGUGUCAGAAAAGCACAUUACCAUGGCAGGGGGUUCUCUCCCCUUCUUUCUCUCUGGAACACACAGGCACACACAGAUACACACAGAUAUACGCACAGACAUGCCGGAACGUAGACACACACACACACACACACACACACACACACACACACACACACACACACACACACACACGCACACAGAUAGACGCAGACAUGCAUGAACGAAGGCGUACACACACACACACAGCCAAGCAUGUUCUCUUUCACACACACACUCUCUCUCUUCUCACUCUCUCAGCAAAAUAAUGUUGAAGUAAUACGGAGCAGUGCAUUGCAGAGGUGCAUGAUUUGUAAUACAUUUAGACAGUCAUUUUGUCAAUUGGAAUUGGUUGUGAUUCAUCAAUUCUGUGAAAUAUUACAGUAUGUCAUUUUGCCUUCAUGUACAAUUAAGAAUUUUCUCUUUAAAACGAGGACUAUAAUAUCUUAAUAUGUCCCAGCUACUUGCAUUUCUGGCAAUCAAUGUAGCAAAAGUAGCUCAUCCAUCACUACGUUUCAGACGAUACAGGAUAGCUAUGGUGUGGUGCAUGUUAUGAUGGCUGCAUUACUAGCCAGCAUCCUCUUAGCUUGUCUUUGUUGUGUUGAGGAUGGGGUUGUUUAACAUGAUGUUUCUGUCUUUGUUGUGUUGAGGAUGGGGUUGUUUAACAUGAUGUAUCUGUCUUUGUUGUGUUGAGGAUGGGGUUGUUUAACAAGCUGUUUCUGUCUUUAUUGUGUUGAGGAUGGGGUGGUUUAACAUGCUGUUUCUGUCUCUGUUGUGUUGAGGAUGGGGUUGUUUAACAUGAUGUAUCUCUCUCUGUUGUGUUGAGGAUGGGGUUGUUUAACAUGAUGUUUCUGUCUUUGUUGUGUUGAGGAUGGGGUUGUUUAACAUGAUGUUUCUGUCUUUGUUGUGUUGAGGAUGAGGUUGUUUAACAUGAUGUUUCUGUCUUUGUUGUGUUGAGGAUGUUUUUUUUAACAUGAUGUUUCUGUCUUUGUUGUGGUGAGGAUGGGGUUGUUUAACAAGCUGUUUCUGUCUUUGUUGUGUUGAGGACGGAGGUUGUUUAACAUGAUGUUUCUGUCUUUGUUGGUUUGAGGAUGGGGGUUGUUUAACAUGAUGUUUCUGUCUUUGUUGUGUUGAGCAUGGGGUUGUUUAACAUGAUGUUUCUGUCUUUGUUGUGUUGAGGAUGGAGGUUGUUUAACAUGAUGUUUCUGUCUUUGUUGUGUUGAGGAUGGGGUUGUUUAACAUGAUGUUUCUGUCUUUGUUGUGUUGAGGAUGGGGUUGUUUAACAUGAUGUUUCUGUCUUUGUUGUGUUGAGGAUGGAGGUUGUUUAACAUGCUUUUUCUGUCUUUGUUGUGUUGAGGAUGGGGUUGUUUAACAUGAUGUAUCUGUCUUUGUUGUGUUGAGGAUGGGGUUGUUUAACAUGAUGUGUCUGUCUUUGUUGUGUUGAGGAUGGGGUUGUUUAACAUGAUGUUUCUGUCUUUGUUGUGUUGAGGAUGGGGUUUAUUAACAUGAUGUUUCUGUCUCUGUUGUGUUGAGGAUGGGGUUGUUUAACAAGCUGUUUCUGUCUUUAUUGUGUUGAGGAUGGGGUUGUUUAACAAGCUGUUUCUGUCUUUGUUGUGUUGAGGAUGGAGGUUGUUUAACAUGAUGUUUCUGUCUUUGUUGUGUUGAGGAUGGGGGUUGUUUAACAAGCUGUUUCUGUCUUUGUUGUGUUGAGGAUGGGGUUGUUUAACAUGAUGUUUCUGUCUUUGUUGUGUUGAGGAUGGGGGUUGUUUAACAUGAUGUUUCUGUCUUUGUUGUGUUGAGGAUGGGGUUGUUUUACAUGAUGUAUCUUUCUUUGUUGUGUUGAGGAUGGGGUUGUUUAACAUGAUGUUUCUGUCUUUGUUGUGUUGAGGUUGGGGUUGUUUAACAAGCUGUUUCUGUCUUUGUUGUGUUGAGGAUGGGGUUGUUUAACAUUAUGUUUCUGUCUUUGUUGUGUUGAGGAUGGAGGUUGUUUAACAAGCUGUUUCUGUUUUUGUUGUGUUGAGGAUGGAGGUUGUUUAACAUGCUGUUUCUGUCUUUGUUGGUUUGAGGAUGGGGGUUGUUUAACAUGAUGUUUCUGUCUUUGUUGUGUUAAGGAUUGGGGUUGUUUAACAAGCUGUUUCUGUCUUUGUUGUGCUGAGGAUGGGGUUGUUUAACAUGAUGUAUCUGUCUUUGUUGUGUUGAGGAUGGGGUUGUUUAACAUGAUGUUUCUGUCUUUGUUGUGUUGAGCAUGGGGUUGUUUAACAUGAUGUUUCUGUCUUUGUUGUGGUGAGGAUGGGGUUGUUUAACAAGCUGUUUCUGUCUUUGUUGUGUUGAGGAUGGAGGUUGUUUAACAUGAUGUUUCUGUCUUUGUUGGUUUGAGGAUGGGGGUUGUUUAACAUGAUGUUUCUGUCUUUGUUGUGUUGAGGAUUGGGGUUGUUUAACAAGCUGUUUCUGUCUUUGUUGUGUUGAGGAUGGGGUUGUUUAACAUGAUGUAUCUGUCUUUGUUGUGUUGAGGAUGGGGUUGUUUAACAUGAUGUUUCUGUCUUUGUUGUGUUGAGGAUGGGGUUGUUUAACAUGAUGUUUCUGUCUUUGUUGUGUUGAGGUUGUUUAACAUGAUGUUUCUGUCUUUGUUGUGUUGAGCAUGGGGUUGUUUAACAUGAUGUUUCUGUCUUUGUUGUGUUGAGGAUGGAGGUUGUUUAACAUGAUGUUUCUGUCUUUGUUGUGUUGAGGAUGGGGGUUGUUUAACAUGAUGUUUCUGUCUUUGUUGUGUUGAGGAUGGGGUUGUUUAACAUGAUGUUUCUGUCUUUGUUGUGUUGAGGAUGGAGGUUGUUUAACAUGCUUUUUCUGUCUUUGUUGUGUUGAGGAUGGGGUUGUUUAACAUGAUGUAUCUGUCUUUGUUGUGUUGAGGAUGGGGUUGUUUAACAUGAUGUGUCUGUCUUUGUUGUGUUGAGGAUGGGGUUGUUUAAGAUGAUGUAUCUGUCUUUGUUGUGUUGAGGAUGGGGUUGUUUAACAAGCUGUUUCUGUCUUUAUUGUGUUGAGGAUGGGGUUGUUUAACAAGCUGUUUCUGUCUUUAUUGUGUUGAGGAUGGGGUUGUUUAACAAGCUGUUUCUGUCUUUGUUGUGUUGAGGAUGGAGGUUGUUUAACAUGAUGUUUCUGUCUUUGUUGUGUUGAGGAUGGGGUUGUUUAACAUGAUGUUUCUGUCUUUGUUGUGUUGAGCAUGGGGUUGUUUAACAUGAUGUUUCUGUCUUUGUUGUGUUGAGCAUGGGGUUGUUUAACAUGAUGUUUCUGUCUUUGUUGUGUUGAGGAUGGGGUUGUUUAACAAGCUGUUUCUGUCUUUGUUGUGUUGAGGAUGGAGGUUGUUUAACAUGCUUUUUCUGUCUUUGUUGUGUUGAGGAUGGGGUUGUUUAACAUGAUGUAUCUGUCUUUGUUGUGUUGAGGAUGGGGUUGUUUAACAUGAUGUGUCUGUCUUUGUUGUGUUGAGGAUGGGGUUGUUUAACAUGAUGUUUCUGUCUUUGUUGUGUUGAGGAUGGAGGUUGUUUAACAUGAUUUUUCUGUCUUUGUUGUGUUGAGGAUGGGGUUGUUUAACAUGAUGUAUCUGUCUUUGUUGUGUUGAGGAUGGGGUUGUUUAACAUGAUGUGUCUGUCUUUGUUGUGUUGAGGAUGGGGUUGUUUAACAUGAUGUUUCUGUCUUUGUUGUGUUGAGGAUGGGGUUUAUUAACAUGAUGUUUCUGUCUUUGUUGUGUUGAGGAUGGGGUUGUUUAACAAGCUGUUUCUGUCUUUAUUGUGUUGAGGAUGGGGUUGUUUAACAUGAUGUUUCUGUCUUUGUUGUGUUGAGGAUGGGGUUGUUUAACAUUAUGUUUCUGUCUUUGUUGUGUUGAGGAUGGAGGUUGUUUAACAAGAUGUUUCUGUCUUUGUUGUGUUGAGGAUGGGUGUUGUUUAACAUGAUGUUUCUGUCUUUGUUGUGGUGAGGAUGGGGUUGUUUAAC